rnacentral:rRNA from 1 species
AGCAGUGGGGAAUUUUGGACAAUGGGCGCAUGCCUGAUCCAGCAAUGCCGCGUGAGUGAAGAAGGCCUUCGGGUUGUAAAGCUCUUUUGUCAGGGAAGAAACGGGAGUGGCUAAUAUCCAUUCCUAAUGACGGUACCUGAAGAAUAAGCACCGGCUAACUACGUGCCAGCAGCCGCGGUAAUACGUAGGGUGCAAGCGUUAAUCGGAAUUACUGGGCGUAAAGCGUGCGCAGGCGGUUUUGUAAGUCUGUCGUGAAAUCCCCGGGCUCAACCUGGGAAUUGCGAUGGAGACUGCAAGGCUAGAAUCUGGCAGAGGGGGGUAGAAUUCCACGUGUAGCAGUGAAAUGCGUAGAGAUGUGGAGGAACACCGAUGGCGAAAGCAGCCCCCUGGGUCAAGAUUGACGCUCAUG